rnacentral:rRNA from 1 species
GUGGGGAAUAUUGGACAAUGGGCGAAAGCCUGAUCCAGCCAUGCCGCGUGUGUGAAGAAGGCCUUUUGGUUGUAAAGCACUUUAAGCGAGGAGGAGGCUACCGAGAUUAAUACUCUUGGAUAGUGGACGUUACUCGCAGAAUAAGCACCGGCUAACUCUGUGCCAGCAGCCGCGGUAAUACAGAGGGUGCAAGCGUUAAUCGGAUUUACUGGGCGUAAAGCGCGCGUAGGUGGCCAAUUAAGUCAAAUGUGAAAUCCCCGAGCUUAACUUGGGAAUUGCAUUCGAUACUGGUUGGCUAGAGUAUGGGAGAGGAUGGUAGAAUUCCAGGUGUAGCGGUGAAAUGCGUAGAGAUCUGGAGGAAUACCGAUGGCGAAGGCAGCCAUCUGGCCUAAUACUGACACUGAGGUGCGAAAGCAUGGGGAGCAAACAGGAUUAGAAACCCUAGUAGUCC